CCCAUCUGCGAAAUUCCCUGCACCAAUUUCAACCAGGCUUGCUUUAUCACAUUCCCUCCUUGCCAGCCUAGCAACCUGCUCUAGUCUGUUUCCUGUCCCAGUGGAGAAGAGGGGACUAUGUCUUUAAUGCCUUGUGUGAACGCUGAGAUGAAGAACUGAGAUGUGGAAAGAGAGUUUGUGAACCAGAAAAGCUUUGGUAGAGAAAGAGGAGAGAACAUCAUGAGCAGAGUGGGAAUAUCCCAAAAGCAUGAAUAGCUGUUCCUGGAGCUGAGGCUGGAAUAUAAGUCCAAGUUAAUGAAGCAGCCUCAAAGUUGAGGAGGAAGAGAAUAAACUGCAGCUCUGAGGCACAGACCAUUGGAGAUCCCUCUUUCAAACCCUGCCUUUGCCACUCACUGGAGUUAUUUGGUUUGGGAGCAAGAUAAGAAUUCACAAUAUCUGAUUUGUAGAAAUAGCCUGGAGGAAGGAAAAACAGACAGAAAUACUAAUUUCAGAUAUAAUUUUCAUCUCUGUUUUCUAAAAGACUUUCUCAUAUCUAAUAGCAUUAAGCAAAUACAAAGUACAGAUUUUGGGGAAGCUGUGCACCGACUGACAAAUGCAUCUCCAAAUAGCCCACAGUUCAGCACUUCUUUUUCUGUCAAUACUCCAUGACCAGGAAAGGUUUGGAGCAUAAUUCUCUCCCAGUAAUCUAUCUUCUCCCUUUCUCUCUCUCCCUUUUUUUUUCUCUCCUAGUAAGAAAUAGACCUGGAAAUUCAUUGCUGAUUUCCCAGGAGUGUUAUUCAUGCCAGUUUAUUUAUGUAUUUAUUAUUCAAGUGCAAACUGUUGCAGUUCCUUGUGGUAAACUGCAAAUCAAACUGAUAGAGGCAGAGGGCUGGCUGUCACACCAAGUGCCAUAGAGACGAGUGCUGAUGCUGUGGCUGCUGCUGCCCCUAAGUGAGGAGGUGUGAGGACAAUUCAGCCUCCUUGGUGCUCAGGGCUGCCCAGGCCUUGGCUAGAGCCGGAAAAAAACAGUAUGCCUUCAAAAGGAUUUAAUUGUCUUCAGCAGGACAUUUAAUACAACUAUGUUUUAACAUGUGAGCAUAAUGGUUUAUUGUGUUUAAGUGUUGGAACUGCAGCUAGGAGAAAUCUAUAUUAAGGCUGAUAAGAAAGGGACAACUUCAACUUGGAAUGUGAUCAAUUGCAAAAAUA